rnacentral:rRNA from 1 species
GGAUCCAUCGGUAGCUUGCUACCGAUGGUGAGAGUGGCGCACGGGUGCGUAACGCGUGAGCAACCUGCCCAUAUCAGGGGGAUAGCCCGGAGAAAUCCGGAUUAACACCGCAUGCAACCGGAGGAUGGCAUCAUCUUCCGGUUAAAUAUUCAUAGGAUAUGGAUGGGCUCGCGUGACAUUAGCUAGUUGGUGGGGUAACGGCCCACCAAGGCGACGAUGUCUAGGGGCUCUGAGAGGAGAAUCCCCCACACUGGUACUGAGACACGGACCAGACUCCUACGGGAGGCAGCAGUAAGGAAUAUUGGUCAAUGGGGGCAACCCUGAACCAGCCAUGCCGCGUGCAGGACGACUGCCCUAUGGGUUGUAAACUGCUUUUGUUAGGGAAUAAACCCCACUACGUGUAGUGGGCUGAAUGUACCUAAAGAAUAAGGAUCGGCUAACUCCGUGCCAGCAGCCGCGGUAAUACGGAGGAUCCGAGCGUUAUCCGGAUUUAUUGGGUUUAAAGGGUGCGUAGGCGGCACUUUAAGUCAGGGGUGAAAGACGGCAGCUCAACUGUCGCAGUGCCCUUGAUACUGAAGUGCUUGAAUGCGGUUGAAGACGGCGGAAUGAGACAAGUAGCGGUGAAAUGCAUAGAUAUGUCUCAGAACACCGAUUGCGAAGGCAGCUGUCUAAGCCGUUAUUGACGCUGAUGCACGAAAGCGUGGGGAUCGAACAGGAUUAGAUACCCUGGUAGUCCACGCCCUAAACGAUGAUGACUCGAUGUUUGCGAUAUACCGUAAGCGUCCAAGCGAAAGCGUUAAGUCAUCCACCUGGGGAGUACGCCCGCAAGGGUGAAACUCAAAGGAAUUGACGGGGGCCCGCACAAGCGGAGGAGCAUGUGGUUUAAUUCGAUGAUACGCGAGGAACCUUACCC